rnacentral:sRNA from 1 species
AGUUCAAGCUGCAGCCUUUGCUGAUGACGGUCAGGAGGCCAACUGCGCCUGGGGAGCAGCGGGAUCCGGGGAUGGGGCUGCCCUGUGUGCUCACCCACCUGACCUGCCCCAGGCCUCCUCCUGUCCCCACCCUGCCUAAAGCUCUAGAGUUCCCCUGCGCUGGCCUCAGGAUUGCAAGCAGUGCAAGGGCCUGGUCCCGGCCCUGGUCUCAGCCCUAUCCAGAUGUCCAAGGCAGGUGGACCACCCGCUGAGCGUCAGAAAUGGGCUCCUCAUCAGCAUCUCUGUCCAUCGGUCCGUCAGUCUGUCUAUCUGCCCCCUAGGAGCCAGGCCCUGCCCCAUGGUGGUGAAGGAGAGUGACUCCAUGCUGCCCCUGCAAGCCCCGGUCACAGGUGACAGCAGGGAAGAGGUCGCUGCCUGGUCGUGCCAAGAGCUGCCCUGGAGGAGCGGAGGCUAGGGCGAGAGCCUCACUCCCUUCCUCUCCCUUCUUCCUUCCUCCCCCUCCUCUCCGUGUGCCCUGCAGGUAUCCCUCUGGCUUCCCCAGCUCACCCCUGCUCCCUUCCCUGCUGGGGGCCAGCCAAGGCCUCACCUGGCUGCAGGGCCAAGCCUGCCAUCAACAGGGCAAGCAGCACAGCCUUCAUGGUCACUGGUGGGCAGUGGUGGAGAGGGCCUUGGGUGACUUUAUAUGGCCUCAACUGGGGAGAGGCUGGACUGCCCACAGUCAACACCAGCAGGUUUCCUGGAGCCAGUGAGGGCCCCGGGGCUGGGCAGGUCCGAGUCUCCUCCCUGAGCGACCUGCACCUCCCUCUCCCUUUGUCCUUCUUUCCACCUCUGGAGGACAGAGCUGCCCAGGGCCAUAUCUCAGCCACCCCAGGCUGAGGGCUAAAACGUCCUCAAGGCCCAGAUUAUGCCUCUCCCACCUCCCCCACCUCACAGUGCAAGGCCAGACAAGGGAGACCCUUUCUCCAGACUCCUCCAGGCCUCGGCCUCCCAGCCAAGGAUGAGGGCACCUCCCUGGGCCCUGUGCUCUUAUAGAAGCUGUGCCACCCUCCUGGGGCCCACGGCCCACGGGGUGAUGAGCCUUGCUCACAGCGUCACUGACAGAUCAGUAGCAGGUGCUGCAAAGGAGAGGGGCAGGGGCUGUUCCGGUGUAAACCAAAAGUAACAUUCUAAGGCCCC